UACAGAGGGUGCGAGCGUUGUUCGGAAUUACUGGGCGUAAAGCGUGCGCAGGCGGCUUCGCAAGUCAGACGUGAAAUCCCCGGGCUUAACCUGGGAAUGGCGUUUGAAACUACGGAGCUGGAGUGUGGCAGAGGGAGGUAGAAUUCCACGUGUAGCGGUGAAAUGCGUAGAUAUGUGGAGGAAUACCGAUGGCGAAGGCAGCCUCCUGGGCCAACACUGACGCUCAUGCACGAAAGCGUGGGGAGCAAACAGG
rnacentral:rRNA from 1 species